rnacentral:rRNA from 1 species
CCUACGGGAGGCAGCAGUAGGGAAUUUUCGGCAAUGGACGGAAGUCUGACCGAGCAACGCCGCGUGAAUGAUGAAGUAUUUCGGUAUGUAAAGUUCUUUUAUUUGGGAAGAAAAAACAAAUUGACGGUACCAAAUGAAUAAGCCCCGGCUAACUACGUGCCAGCAGCCGCGGUAAUACGUAGGGGGCAAGCGUUAUCCGGAAUUAUUGGGCGUAAAGGGUGCGUAGGCGGGUUAUCAAGUCUUUGGUUAAAAUGCGGUGCUCAACGCCGUAGUGCCAAAGAAACUGAUAGUCUAGAGUAUGGUAGAAGUGAGUGGAACUCCAUGUGUAGCGGUAAAAUGCGUAAAUAUAUGGAAGAACACCAGUGGCGAAGGCGGCUCACUAGGCCAAUACUGACGCUGAGACACGAAAGCGUGGGGAGCAAACAGGAUUAGAUACCCUAGUAGUC